rnacentral:rRNA from 1 species
AUACGUAGGGAGCGAGCGUUGUCCGGAUUUACUGGGUGUAAAGGGUGCGUAGGCGGCUCUGCAAGUCAGGUGUGAAAACUAUCGGCUCAACUGAUAGACUGCAUUUGAAACUGUGGAGCUUGAGUGAAGUAGAGGCAGAUGGAAUUCCCGGUGUAGCGGUGAAAUGCGUAGAGAUCGGGAGGAACACCAGUGGCGAAGGCGAUCUGCUGGGCUUUAACUGACGCUGAGGCACGAAAGCAUGGGUAGCAAACAGGAUUAGAUACCCUGGUAGUCCAUGCCGUAAACGAUGAUUACUAGGUGUGGGGGGUCUGACCCCCUCCGUGCCGGAGUUAACACAAUAAGUAAUCCACCUGGGAAGUACGACCGCAAGGUUGA